rnacentral:rRNA from 1 species
UACGAAGGGGGCUAGCGUUGCUCGGAAUCACUGGGCGUAAAGCGCACGUAGGCGGCUUUUUAAGUCAGGGGUGAAAUCCUGGAGCUCAACUCCAGAACUGCCUUUGAUACUGAGAAGCUUGAGUCCGGGAGAGGUGAGUGGAACUGCGAGUGUAGAGGUGAAAUUCGUAGAUAUUCGCAAGAACACCAGUGGCGAAGGCGGCCUUCUGGACGAUGACUGACGCUGAGACGCGAAAGCGUGGGGAGCAAACAGG